UAAUGAUUUUAGCAGUCUAUGUAUGUAUGUAUGUUUGUAUCCAGAUUUUGUGUCUUCCACCGUAGCGCCUAAACUACUGGGCCGAUUUUGAUGAAUGAUGUGUCAAUUGAUUCGUUGUGAAGGUCCGGAUGACAUAGGCUUCAUCAAAACACAUUUAUACGAGAUUAAAAUU